AAAAAUAGAAGACUUUGGAACC
rnacentral:miRNA from 1 species